rnacentral:rRNA from 1 species
GCGAUGAGCCCUGAGACUCCGAAUGGGGCAACCCCUCCAGAGUGAUGUCUGGAGACCUGCAGGUCAAUCCAUAGCCUGCAGGGGGGCAGCGGGUGAACUGAAACAUCUCAGUAGCCCGACGAGAAGAAAUCAACACGAGAUUCCCAGAGUAGUGGCGAGCGAAAUGGGAGGAGCCCAAACCAGCGGCUCUUGCGAGCGGCUGGGGUUGUAGGACCAGCAGCAAAGCCCAAGCCCGAACGCGAAGGUGUUGGAAAGCACCGCCAGAGAGGGUGAGAGACCCGUAGCGAGCCAGGGCGGCGGCUGGACUGGCAUCCUGAGUACCACGGGGCACGAGAAACCUUGUGGGAAGCUGGGGGGACCACCCUCCAAGGCUCAACAUCUUGAGCGACCGAUAGUGAACCAGUACCGUGAGGGAAAGGUGAAAAGCACCCCGAGAGGGGGAUGAAACAGACCCUGAAACCGCGUACUCACCAGCAGUCAGAGGCCACUCCUGCAUGAGCAGGCAAGGGCUGAUGGCGUGCCUUUUGUAGAAUGAUCCGGCGAGUGCAUCGACGUUGCCUGGUUAACCUCCGCUAAAGGAGGGGAGCCGCAGGGAAACCGAGUCUGAAGAGGGCGCCCAGAGGUAGCGGCGAUGCGACCCGAAACCACGUGAGCUAUCCAUGGCCAGAGUGAAGCGGAUGUGAAAGUCCGUCGAGGCUCGAACUCACCAGUGUUGCAAAACUGGGGGAUGAGCUGUGGAUAGCGGAGAAAUUCCAAGCGAACGUGGAGAUAGCUGGUUCUCCCCGAAAUGCAUUGAGGUGCAGCCACGCACCAACUCAGAUGGAGGUAGAGCACUGGAUGGGCUCGGGGCCAAGUGCUGGUUACCAACCCCACUCAAACUGCGAAGACCAUCUGAAGAGCGGGCGUGAGUGAGACGGCGGGGGCUAAGCUUCGUCGUCGAAAGGGAAACAGCCCAGACCACCAGCUAAGGUCUCCAAAUCGAUGCUCAGUGUCAAAGGUGGUCAGGACGCUCAGACAGCCAGGAUGUUGGCUUAGAAGCAGCCAUCAUUGAAAGAGUGCGUAAGAGCUCACUGGUCGAGUGCCCUGGCGCCGACAACGUAGCGAGGCUCAAGCAUCGUACCGAAGCUGUGGAUGGUUAGUGCUCUCUUUCGCAAGAAAGAGCGCACGGCCAUGGUAGGGGAGCGUUGUGCGCCGCAGAGAAGCCAGAUCGUGAGAACUGGUGGAGCGCACACAAGAGCGAAUGCCGGAAUGAGUAGCGCAAUCAGUGUGAGAACCACUGACACCGCAAGCCUGAGGGUUCCUGGGCAACGUCAGACGACCCAGGGUCAGUCGGGUCCUAAGCCGAGGACGUUACAGUCGUAGGCGAUGGCAAGCAGGUGCGAUAGUCCUGCACCAGAGGCGAUCAUUAGGCAGUGAAGCGGGGACGCGGUAGGGAAGGUGAACCCAUCGAAUGGACAGGAUGGGCUGCCAGUGGGAAGUGUGAGUCGUGGGCAAGUCCGCGACUCGAGAGAGCAUGACCCCUGGCACGAGUUUGCGCAAGCGAGCGGAAGUCACCGACGCCCAGGCCGCCAAGAAAAGCCGCUAACGAGAUCGUCCUCUGCCCGUACCGCAAACCGACACCGGUAGGCCGGGGGAAGACCCCCAAGGUGAACGAGCCAACCUCUGUUAAGGAACUCGGCAACAUGACCCCGUACCUUCGGAAGAAGGGGUGCCCUAGUAGUUUCCUGGCUUCGCGCCAGGGGGUGAGGGGGCCGCAGUAAAUCGGCUCAAGCGACUGUUUACCAAAAACACAGGUCUCUGCGAACACGCAAGUGGAAGUAUAGGGGCUGACUCCUGCCCAGUGCCGGAAGGUUAAGAGGAGGGGUGUACGUAGCUCCCAAUCCAAGCCCCGGUGAACGGCGGCCGUAACUAUAACGGUCCUAAGGUAGCGAAAUUCCUUGUCGGGUAAGUUCCGACCCGCACGAAAGGAGUAACGACUUGAGCGCUGUCUCGACAGGGGGCUCGGCGAAAUUGAAGUACCCGUGAAGAUACGGGUUUCCCACGACAGGACAAAAAGACCCCGUGGAGCUUUACUACACCUUGGCCUUGAGACGAGGCGGUGGAUACGUAGCAUAGGUGGGAGUCAGAGAAGCACCCCUUGCGGGGGGUGUGGAGACAGCAGUGAAAUACCACUUUUCCACGGUGUUGUGUCUCACACCGACCCCUACAUCGGGGAGGUGGACAGGGCCAGGCGGGUAGUUUGACUGGGGCGGUCGCCUCCUAAAGAGUAACGGAGGCGCCCAAAGGUUCCCUCAGGGUGAAUGGACACCACCCUGAUAGAGUGUAAAGGCAGAAGGGAGCUUGACUGCGAGGCGAACAGGCCGAGCAGGGACGAAAGUCGGGCUUAGUGAUCCCACAUUCCCGAGUGGAAGGAGUGUGGCUCAACGGACAAAAGCUACCCCGGGGAUAACAGGCUUAUCUUGCCCAAGAGUUCACAUCGACGGCAAGGUUUGGCACCUCGAUGUCGGCUCGUCGCAUCCUGGGGCUGGAGUUGGUCCCAAGGGUUGGGCUGUUCGCCCAUUAAAGCGGCACGCGAGCUGGGUUCAGAACGUCGCGAGACAGUUCGGUCUCUAUCCGUCGUGGGCGUAGGAAGAUUGAGGAGCGUCAUCUCCAGUACGAGAGGACCGAGAUGGCUCGACCGCUGGUGCGCCAGUUGGGGUGCCCACCCCACAGCUGGAUAGCUAUGUCGAGAAGGGAUAAGCGCUGACAGCAUCUAAGCGCGAAGCCGCUCCCAAGAUGAGUCUUCCCACUUCGUUUGAGGAUAAGAUCCCAGGGAGAUUACCUGGUCGAUAGACCGUACGCAUACGCCUGGUAACAGGUUGAACGAAACGGCCCUAAUGAUCGAACGGCUUGUUU